CAGCGGAUAAUUUAUUAAAAAUAUUAAUUUUGGAGAUUAAAGAAGAAAUUUGUUUUCUCUGCUGA
rnacentral:tRNA from 1 species